GUGAGGAAUAUUGCGCAAUGGAGGCAACUCUGACGCAGCCAUGCCGCGUGCAGGAAGAAGGCGCUACGCGUUGUAAACUGCUUUUAACCGGGAAGAAACCCCAGGACGUGUCCUGGGUUGACGGUACCGGAGGAAUAAGCACCGGCUAACUUCGUGCCAGCAGCCGCGGUAAUACGAAGGGUGCAAGCGUUAUCCGGAUUCAUUGGGUUUAAAGGGUGCGUAGGCGGAGCGUUAAGUCAGUGGUGAAAUCCUGCAGCUUAACUGUAGACUUGCCAUUGAUACUGGCGCUCUUGAGUGCGCUUGAAGUGGGCGGAAUGUGCCGUGUAGCGGUGAAAUGCUUAGAUAUGCUACGGAACACCGAUUGCGAAGGCAGCUUACUAUUUCGUAAUUGACGCUGAGGCACGAAAGCGUGGGUAGCGAACAGGAUUAGAAACCCGGGUAGUCC
rnacentral:rRNA from 1 species